AGUGAACGGACAUUGGGCGGAGUGGAAAGGUUGGCAGUGUGAAAGUACUUUUGCGAGAACCGCACACAGAAGCAGAUACUGUGAUGACCCACCACCAUAUAACGGAGGUAUGCCUUGUUACGGCUCUGACGUCGAUGUAUUGAGUAAUAUUAAUUGUACCAACAUUGAAUCUGCUGUUAUAGUGGAUCCUUCUCGGCUAAUCAACGCUAUAUACUGCCAGCGACGUUAUGACGGAGUAACCACAGCAUACAUCGAAUGG
rnacentral:sRNA from 1 species